UGAAGAAUGGAGAAACAAGUAAAAAUUAAAAUGGAGGACAUUUUUUUAUCAAAUUUUAUACCUUUAUUGGAAGGUAAUAUGCUUUAUUUAAUAUCAAUCCUUGUAGUAGAGUACUUAGAUUGCCAAUAUGGAUGGAAAUUUAGGACAUCCAGCCUGAAUUUAAUGCGAUAUUUCGACAUAAAGUUUGUGCUUUUGCUUUGCACCUGGUUCGAUUUAUAAUUUCUAUAAGCGAUUGUCGAACUUUGAACCAGUUUUAAUUCAUAAUUAUUGUCGAACAAGUGAGUAAAAAGACUAACUAAGAUCAAGAAUUGUUUGAGAAAAUUUUAUUAAAUGCCAUAUACAGAGACGAGGCGCUUGCCGCUUGGUGGGACGAAUAUUUCAUCAUCUUGUACAUUUCAAUCUUGCGACAAAAUAUUUUAACAAUAUGGUAGAAGUAGCCUUGCUUUAGCAACAUUACAAUGUAUUUGAUUCUUGCUUGCAAAACAAAGUUAAAGUUUGAAGCACAUCUUACUCCAGGCUCAAAAAUUUGGAACAGUAGCAUAUUUUUGACAUGGGCUGGCAAGGAUUCAGAGUGCUAAAAAAUAAAAAGGACAGACUAGUAUUUGUUAAUUUAAAAGCAGAUUAACUUGAUUUAUUGGGACAGCAGAUGCCUGAAGUCAAAAUGAAGUUGAAAAAAAUUCCAAUCAAAUUUUUCCAAUUGGUCAGCAUUUUUCAAAUCUAUUGGGUCGUUCCAGAAAAGAUCCGCACUCCCCCCGCGGAGGAAAUUUCUGCUGUCCAGAGGGGGGAGAUAGACAAAAAUUGUUUCUGAUAAUCAAUGUAUCGCAUGUUUUUAUUGUCCAACAUGGACGUGACUUUCAGACAGUCCUCCCUUAUUCAAUAUUCACUUUAUUUUCUAAUUUCUACUGUGAAAAUCAGAGGAAAUUGAACCUAAAACCUUCAGUUUCAUCUCGGAGACGGGUUUUCCAAGACUUUUAACAACUGAACUGUAUUUUUGAGCCGGUUUUAUUAAGUUCAUGAAAUGUUAAAAUUCCUGCAUGGUCCCAGGGGCCGGGUUCACACUCUUAGUAAAAUUUUCAUCAAUUUUUAUAGAUGUGCAGUGCAAGUUCCAAGAAUGUUGCAAGACUCGUGAUUAUGAAAAAUGGACACAUUCCAAGAUCCUGAAUUAGAGGUAAAUGAUUUUUCUUCUAAUUAUUUCUAACCUUCUCCUUUAUGUCUUGGACUAAUAUAUUAAUUUGUUUCAUGUUCUUAAUAGUGAGUUUUUAAAUUUUCUAGAUGUGUGUUGCAAUUUCAAAGAAUGUCUCAAGAUGUUGGCUGAAGUGUUUUUCAUCACAAAAAUGAACACUGUCAUUGGAAAGUAUAUAAAAGGUCUUAAUAUUUUCAUGUUUUAUCUUACAUGAAAUGUUUUGAACAUUAUAUGAUUGCCUGUGAUCAAUAGUUUCAAAAAUCCAAGCAGAUUAUUGUAAAAAUAGCGUGACCAUGUUACUUAUGACACAAAAUACAACAAAAGUAAUAAAUGCAAUCUUUA
rnacentral:lncRNA from 1 species